AUGAAAAAAUCUUCUCUGCUCGUUCAUGUCUUCUUCCUUCGAUCGGAUCGGGGCAGAGAGAGAAUCCCAAUGCACUCGACCGUCGCGAGCUUGCGGCGCGCCGCCGCGCCUGGAAGUCACCGGAUCUGCUCCGACCCCUUCGCCCUGCGCCUCCCCUCUGUUCCUCGCCUCGCCGGGAUCCCAGCGCCGCCGGCCGCCUGCCUCGACCCGGCGGGAUCGAGCGGCAUCAACCGCUGCGCCCCUGCAUCGGAGCUAGCCGGAAACAGGUCGGCGGGCGCUGGCCUCUCCCCUGCAUUCUGCCCCGUCGCAAACUGGAGGAGCGGGCUAGGUGGAGGGUGGAGGGUGGAGGCGCUCCGGCAUCGGGCGAAGCCCUCCUUUGUGAGACGGUGGAGGGGCUGGCGAGGGAGCUCCGCCGCCAUCUCCUGGUGCCCAAGCUCCUCCCAGGUACGUGGACGAGGGCGGGAGCGGUGCUCCUCCCAGGCGUGUGGACGAGGGCGCCGGCGGUAG
rnacentral:rRNA from 1 species